UACAGAGGGUGCAAGCGUUGUUCGGAAUUAUUGGGCGUAAAGGGCGCGUAGGCGGUGCGGUAAGUCUGUAGUGAAAUCUCUGGGCUCAACUCAGAGUCUGCUGCAGAAACUGCCGUGCUUGAGUGUGGGAGAGGUGAGUGGAAUUCCCGGUGUAGCGGUGAAAUGCGUAGAGAUCGGGAGGAACACCUGUGGCGAAGGCGGCCCCCUGGGCCGGCCCUGACACUGAGACGCGAAGGCGUGGGGAGCGAACGGG
rnacentral:rRNA from 1 species